GUGCUGUGUUUGACAACUCUGGAAGAUGCUCUUUUUAAGGCAAUCUUUUCCUAACCUUAAUUAGAGAAAGGGUGCCAAAGGCUGACCCAAAUCCAUCUGAGGAUCUGCGUGACUUCACGUUGCCUGUAUGGAAGAGCUCCAGCUUGCUAAAUGCCUGAACCGAGAAAGAUUGAAAUAAGAACAAGAAACAUGGACGUACCCUGCUGCAAAAAAGAUGAAGAUUUGACCAUGGCUUUGUCAAGGAAGUGCAGCAAGAGGAAUCAAGCCCAGUGGAUCAGUCUUCCCCAGGGCUCCUCCCUGCUGUUGGAGGUGGAGAGUUCAACUGUGCCAAAUCUCUGCUUGGUUCAGUAUCUGCUGGUGGAUGAGGGGAAGUAGCUAAAAGCAUGCCAAUCCUCACCCUGUUCUCUUACCUCUCCAAGUCCCAUUUCUCACCCUGUGCUCUCUCCAUGUUUUUUAGUUAUGUCUUUGUUCCCUUCUUCUGCAGCAACAGGCAAAAGUUUGGCCCACAAAUACAAACAGAAAAUGUGCUUGGGACUCUGCUGAGAGCCUAGUCAAGGCUACACCACGCAAGGGAAGAAGAAGGACAAAUGGCCCCGUGUGUUAACAGGACCCAGAACCCUCUCCUGGUCUCAUGGCCCCUUUGGAGCUGUGAUGCCUUCCAUCACUACUGUGACCCAGACAACAACAGCUCAGAAAAUUCUACUGAUGUUACAGAAGUCAGCCUGACCUACAGUGCUUCAGCUGGCCUUGCCUGACAUGUGGGACCACACAAGACAGAAAAGUUAUCGUGCUCAAACAAGUCCCUCAAGCC